GGGGCAGUGCUGAGCACACUGAUUCUGAGGAGCACUGGCGUUAGUGAACGAUGACGGAAUCCUGCGCCAUCUUUGAUUUGACAUGUCAUGUGGUUGUGUAACAAUCGACUUUAACAGUUCUUUAAAUACAUCAUGCUUUAACAUCAUACCCUAAAACCCUAAAAGGCUAAAUUGCGAAAGAGACGUCAGUAAAUAAGAUGCCUCGGACGGGUUCUCGCGCUAUGACGAAACAACGUCGAGUUCUUUUGUUAAAAGAGAAUCUGGCGUAUGAGGUUAGCUUCCUCCCUCCAGUUUUAGGAAAGUUUGUUCCAUGCAAACACUCCCUUUUUUAGGUAAGGUGAGUUAUCUUUCCUGCCAAGAAAAAGAAAUCUGACAAAAAGCUUGUCAGAUUCCCAGAUGGCUUCACCUAAAAUGUCUCUUAAAGAACAAGACGAAGGAUAAAGGCCAGAUCAACCGAUAUUAAGUGGCACUCCUACGCUGCUCUCCGUUACAGCUCGCUCUCCUUGCCGCACGGGCACUGACGUCACUCACUUAAGGCUCCCUGGCCUUCUCGCUCUAACUUCCACUACUCUCGUCAGGGGGUGGCGGUUAACCGCCAAACCACGGUGAUACGUUGCUUCUUCACUACUAAGAAAAACUCUAUACCAUCACAGUCCUAGUGCUUAAUAGUCUAAUUUCAAUCAUGUCAGCUGUACUUCUAGGCCCUCCUAGUGUUGGAUAAUUUAAUCUACAAUAAAACAUAUUUUAUAAUCUACAUGUUUUAUGUUCAACAAUCUUGAUGUGUAAAGUAACUAAAGCUUGAUUUAGAGCUUGAAACGCUUUAAUGACCAUGUUUCAUUGGCCAGUUACUUGCACAGGUUAGUGCACGUCAGCGCACGGGUCCAUCAUGUGACAAACGCUAUGGAGCGUACCACAUGGCGUGUGUGCAUAUUUCGACAGUGUGACGGCAUAAGUGAAGAAAUACUACCUGUACAACAAGAUGCACAGGCAGCUAUCCCGCAGCUUUAGAAAAGGCGGUGUAGGCAGAGUUUGGACAUCCUUCCUCUACGACUGCCCUGUGGUCCAGCCGCACACGGAGCCGUGUGAAGUGACUUGUCUGGGAUUCUGCCGGAGCAGACUGGUCAGUUGCCUCACGGCGCCAGAGGACACAACGCCUGCUUCCUGAUAAAUCACGGGACAAAUCAAAACGGGGCGACAGAGCUCGCCUUCUGUCCCAUACUGAUAAGAGACGGCUUUGUGAAAACCAGAGAGACAUGUCGUAAAUCUUCUGGUGUCCCAAGUUGAGCAAAGAGUCCCAGCAAGUAGACGGCCACCAUGGGUAAGUACCUUCAUCUCACAAGUCCCUUGAAAGACAUCCAAUCCCACUAGUCCUCGUGCAGCGGCAGAGCAUGAUUGGGCACACACAGAGAGAUCUGGUUUCUGUGCCUGCAAAGUCCACAUGGAGUUGUAUCCAUGUUUGUGAGGCUUCACACUUAAAGCUGAAUGAAUGAAGAGUUCCCU